rnacentral:rRNA from 1 species
UACGAAGGGGGCUAGCGUUACUCGGAUUGACUGGGCGUAAAGGGCGCGUAGGCGGUUUGUACAGUCAGACGUGAAAUUCCUGGGCUCAACCUGGGGGCUGCGUUUGAUACGUGCGGACUUGAGUUCGGAAGAGGGUCGUGGAAUUCCCAGUGUAGAGGUGAAAUUCGUAGAUAUUGGGAAGAACACCGAUGGCGAAGGCAGCCUCCUGGGCCAACACUGACGCUCAUGCACGAAAGCGUGGGGAGCAAACAGG